AGGCGCCUUCGGGAGCCUCGCGCGGAAACGGGAAUAUGUCCUAUUAGGUAGUUGGCGGGGUAAAGGCCCACCAAGCCAAUGAUGGGUAGCUGGACUGAGAGGUUGAACAGCCGCAAUGGGAUUGAGAUAUGGCCCAUAUUCCUACGGGAAGCAGCAGUGAGGAAUUUUUCACAAUGGACGAAAGUCUGAUGGAGCAAUACCACGUGAGCGAUGAAGGUCUUCUGAUUGUAAAGCUCUUUUAUUUAGGAAAAAAAGCGCGCCAGGAAAUGGGCGCGCCUUGAUGGUACUAAUUGAAUAAGUGACAGCUAACUAUGUGCCAGCAGCUGCGGUAAAACAUAGGUCACAAGCAUUAUCCGGAUUUAUUGGGCGUAAAGGAAGCGUAGGCGGGGAGGUUGAUCCAUUGUUAAAGGCAUUUGCUCAACAAAUGUGUGCGAUGGAGAUCGCCUCCCUAGAGUUAAUCAGGGGGUACUGGAAUUCAAUGUGUAGCGGUGGAAUGCGUAGAUAUAUUGAGGAACACCAGAGGCUAAGGCGAGUACCUGGGAUAUAACUGACGCUGAGGCUUGAAAGCGUGGGGAGCAAAUGGGAUUAGAUACCCCAGUAGUCCACGCCGUAAACGAUGAGCAUUAGGUAUUUGACGUUACGUCGAGUGCUGUAGCUAACGCGUUAAAUGCUCCGCCUGGGUAGUAUAUAUGCAAAUAUGAAACUCAAAGAAAUUGACGGGGACCUGAACAAGUGGUGGAGCAUGUUGCUUAAUUCGAUAAUACACGAAAAACCUUACCAAGGCUUGUUAUCUACUGCAAAACUAUAGAAAUAUGGUGGAGUAUAUCAGUAAGACAGGUGGUGCAUGGCUGUCGUCAGCUCGUGUCUUGAGAUGUUUGGUUAAGUCCCGUAACGAGCGCAACCCUACUCUCUAGUUAAUUAGUUCUAGAGUGACUGAAUCGUAAGAUAUAGGAAGGAUGGGGCCAAGUCAAGUCAUCAUGCCCCUUAUGCCUUGGGCUGCAAACGUGCUACAAUGGUAGGUACAAUGUGUUGCAAU
rnacentral:rRNA from 1 species